UGGCGAACGGGUGAGUAACACGUGGGCAAUCUGCCCUGCACUCUGGGACAAGCCCUGGAAACGGGGUCUAAUACCGGAUACGACCACUUCAGGCAUCUGAUGGUGGUGGAAAGCUCCGGCGGUGCAGGAUGAGCCCGCGGCCUAUCAGCUUGUUGGUGAGGUAACGGCUCACCAAGGCGACGACGGGUAGCCGGCCUGAGAGGGCGACCGGCCACACUGGGACUGAGACACGGCCCAGACUCCUACGGGAGGCAGCAGUGGGGAAUAUUGCACAAUGGGCGAAAGCCUGAUGCAGCGACGCCGCGUGAGGGAUGACGGCCUUCGGGUUGUAAACCUCUUUCAGCAGGGAAGAAGCGAAAGUGACGGUACCUGCAGAAGAAGCGCCGGCUAACUACGUGCCAGCAGCCGCGGUAAUACGUAGGGCGCAAGCGUUGUCCGGAAUUAUUGGGCGUAAAGAGCUCGUAGGCGGCUUGUCGCGUCGGAUGUGAAAGCCCGGGGCUUAACCCCGGGUCUGCAUUCGAUACGGGCAGGCUAGAGUUCGSURAGGGGGAGAUCGGAAUUCCCUGAGGGUASCGGRGAUAUGCGCAGAUAUMASGAGGAACCCCCKCCCGCCCSA
rnacentral:rRNA from 1 species